UAAGGAAUAUUGGUCAAUGGACGCAAGUCUGAACCAGCCAUGCCGCGUGAAGGAUGAAGGUCCUCUGGAUUGUAAACUUCUUUUAUAGGGGACGAAAAAAGGGAAUUCUUUCUCGUCUGACGGUACCCUAGGAAUAAGCACCGGCUAACUCCGUGCCAGCAGCCGCGGUAAUACGGAGGGUGCAAGCGUUAUCCGGAUUUGCUGGGUUUAAAGGGUCCGUAGGCGGGUCUGUAAGUCAGUGGUGAAAUCUCCCCGCUCAACGGGGAAACUGCCAUUGAUACUGCAGGUCUUGAAUUAUUGGGAAGUAACUAGAAUAUGUAGUGUAGCGGUGAAAUGCGUAGAUAUGCGGAGGAACACCGAUGGCGAAGGCAAUCCCCUGGGCCUGCACUGACGCUCAUGCACGAAAGCGUGGGGAGCAAACA
rnacentral:rRNA from 1 species